CAACCUUGGCCACCACGGCGCCGCGUCGCCGGCACGCCGCGUGGGCUUCAGACAGCGUCAGCCGCCCGGGCACGAAGAACACUUGGCCUGGGGACCACAGCGGGUCACCGACCGAGGGCAGGGUGGGCGGAGAGGGGCGGCUGACACCCAGGAGGCGGAGUUGGGGUGCGGGACCGCAGAGGUGCUGGAUCGAGCUUGGGUAAGAGGAGUUGGGGGAUCGAGGCAAAAGUGCAGGGAGGGUUUGGAGAGGUGAGCUGGAGCCUGGGCGGGCGGGCGGGCUGAUGGGGGGGCGGUGCCUUGGAGGGACCCGGAGACCCUGCCCUGAUCUCAAGCUGAGGUCCACUCCUCGUCCCCCACAUUUUUCAGACCCCUCCCCAAGACCCUGCCUUCGUCCCGCGCCUCACCCGCCAGCGCGGAGGUGAAGCAGAAGGCGUCGUAGCGGUCGCGCAUCCGGUCGCGGGGUCCGUAGCUGCGGAUCCCGGGCCGGCCUCGGCCGCCGCACGGGGCGCGUGCGGUGAGCACAGGGUAGCGCACGGAGCCCUCGAGCAGCCAGCCCGCGUUACACCAGUCCAGACCCUCGGUCCAAGCUGGCGGGAGACGGCGGAGGUCGGGGAUAAGAGGCGUCAUAGGCAGGAGCCAGACUGAGCUCGCCUGGCGCCCUCUCUCGGGCCCCUGAGACAGCUCCGCGGGGCUUGGGAAGUGCUGGGUUCGGCCGCUCACCCUGGUAGAGCUGGGAGUAGGUGGCCAGGCGUCCGUCCUGCUCCUCGCACGCCUGCUUCGCCUCGUAGUAAUUGAACUGGUACCGGCCCCGGCUGGGUUGAGUGUUGCUCCAUGGUCCAGGCUGGAGUCCCGUGGCAUGAUCAUGGCUCACUGCAGCCCCUAACUUCCAGCUCCAGGUGAUCCUCCCAUUUCAGCCUCCUGAGUAGCUGGAACUACAGACAUGUGCCACCACACCCAGCUAAUUGUUUCUUUUUAAGUUUUUAGUAGAGACAAGGUCAUGCUGUGUUGACAAGGCUGGUGCUGGGAUUACAGCAGGCGUGAGCCACCGUGCCUGGCCUUGUCACUCUCCUGCUUGAAAGUGACUCCCAGUUGCCCUGAGGAUAAAAUCCAAUCUCAUAACCACAGCUUCCAAGGCUGUCUAUAAUCCAGUUGCUCCCUGCACCUCCAGCAUGGUCCCCGCCUCGCCUCUUAACCACUUUGGCCUCUGCACUGUUCCCCUGACAUGCUGGAUUUCUGGCAGUUUCCCACACAGUCCAAGUUUGCAUUCAUUUCCUUUCCUUUGUGCCUGCAUUGGUCGCACAGGCCUCACCUCCUUUGGGAAACCUUUACCCACCCCCAGUUUGCCACACUGUAGUGCACUGUGAUCUGCUGGACUGCGGACCUUUUUUUUUUUGAGACAGGGUUUUACUCUCUCGCCCAGACUGGAGUGCAGUGGUAUGAUCAUGGCUUACUGCAGCCUCGCCCUCCCAGACUCAAGCCAUCCUCCCAUCUCAGCCUCCUGAGUAGCUGGGACUACAGGCGCACACCAUGAAACCCCACUAAAUUUUUUUCUUUUCUAUUUUUUGUAGAGAUGGAGUUUCAGAAUGUUGCCCAGGCUGGUCUUGAACUCCUGGGCUCAAGUAAUCUGUCUUGGCCUCCCAGAAUGCUGGGAUUACAAGCAUGAGCCACCACACCCAGCCAGGACUUUUUUUGUCUUACAAGUA
rnacentral:lncRNA from 1 species